CAGUGGAGUUGCAAAUAGUAGUGAACUUCCUAGAGCUGUUUAGUUUUGGUUUAUUGUUGGUGGAUUUUUUACCGUCCUUACCGAUGCAAGAAUAAUUAACGUGUUACUCUGCUCAUUACACAGGAUGUUAUGUGUCACUUGGACUUGGAGAAGUGCUGAAUUUGAGGCAGAUCCAUGGAAGGAUGUACUGUGCCCCCUUUGCCUGGUCACUGCUUGGCAGUGUGGAAAAAAAAUGAGUUCUGACUGAAAUGUUUGUAUGGCCCAGGUUGGAAAUGAAUUAACAACACACUGCAGUAAUUGAUUCUUUAGGGCUUGAAAGUGGGAAGAAAACAGCAGUUUGUGGCUAGAUAGGCACUUGCUAUGGUGAGGAAGCAGAUACAUAAAUGAAAUAAUACAUCCUUGCUGUAUAGAACGUUGUCUGGAGAGAUGGUUCUUUAAUUGUAUGUCCUAUAUGACUGUAGGACAAGGAAGUCCUGAAUUGAGAUUUCUAUUUGUUUACAUAAUAUAGAAUGGUGUUGGGGUUUCUCUUACUUUUUUCUAGGCAAAAGUGCAUGUUUCUUCCACAGUCAAAUAUUUAGGAUAUUAUAAAUAACUUCUCAGCAAUGCAUAGUUUCUUUGCAUGAAAAUGGGACGAUGUGAGUAAUGAAUGUUGACUUGGAAUUACAGCCAGUAUGGUAAUGAAAUAAAGCCCCAUUAGAUUUAAGUAAUUUGCAAAUUGAGGUUGUUAUCACAUAAAUAAUUGUAUCCCUGGCUGAUGUGAGGGAAGGGUCAUAUCAGUCAAUCAAGUAGGAAAAAAGACUUUUAAAGAAAUGUAAUCAAGCAUGGAUGUUAAAUUAUGGAUUAAUUCCAUACAUGCACAGCAGUAAAUUCCCACCAGUAGACAGCUGUCAAGGUUACCUAGAAAACUUUGCUACAUUUAUUUUCAAUGUGAUAAUUCUGCUCUUGUUCUACUUCUACAAAAGCUCCAGGUAAUUAUUUUUUGUGUAAAUUCCAACAACACAUCAGUUUAUCACAAUGCUUGUAUUAGUCAUAUAUACUUAAAAUUAACUAAAAGUUAUUCAGAUGCUAAAUAGGUGCAUGUAUUGUUCAGUUUCUAGGUCAAUUUUGGCUUUCUUAACUUGUGCCUUUCAAAAGAGUAGGCAUAAAAAAUCAUGUUUGAAAGAUUCAUCCAUUGAAUCACUGGAGUUGUAGUAAAUUAGUAUUUUUACCUGAAGGAGGUAGAGGAGAAUCAGAAUGCAUCACAAAUCUCUGUGAACCAAGAGUGUUUCAGCCUCUCUGUAUAAGCCUGGUUGUGUUCUGCUGUGGAGAUGUUUUGUUGCCACUGGGUUUCUCCUGACAGAAGGUUUGACCAGGGGUGUGUAUAACUAUAGGGCAUCUGAUCUAUUUCUUUACCUUCCUUAAUUAAAAUCAGAUCUAUUUGUUAGAAAACAUUGUGGAAAACCUAGAGGCACCAAAAGGGAGCCUUCAAUACAGAAACUAACUGCAAACCUCUGGAAACACUGAAGCUCAAAACAAUGAAAAUCUCUGCAGUUAUGGCAAAGCAGAGUAUCAAAGGACAGCAAAGUCACCCUGACAGGAUGAAGUCAGACAUCUGGCACUGACUGGGUGUCCCCUGCAAGGCUGUGCUCCAUUCCAGUCGUUCUCCUGUGUGGCUGUAAAAAGGACAUGAUGUUUUUUUCCAUCACACACCUUGUCUCCUGGCAUUGAAUGCUAUAGCUGAGAUGUGCAGGUGGAGGAGGAAUUUGCUUAUUGCCAAAGGAAACUCCAAAGCAGAAAAAGGCUGAGCUAGUCAAAGGAAACGUGUGAAGAACCUUCUGUUGGAUCACGGAGUACAGUCAGUGAAUGGUUCUCUGGGAUAUGAAGUGCUGGAAAAGCAUUCUGGGUACAAGCCCAAGCAAGGAAGGCUUCUCAGUUAACCUCUGGAUGUCAGGAGCCAAAUGCCCAGGAUUUGCUGCAUCCAA